GUUACUGUCCUUUAGGACGCUCUUAGUGGCGCUGAAUGAACGGAUUUCAGCUUGUAGCCUUCAGUGUUGCUCAAACUAAAUGAUUGAAUGCUCUGCUUCUGCCACGUCUUCACAUGUUAAAUGUUGUCCUUAUAGUGUGCUCUUAAAAUGCAUUUUUUGUGCCACCCUUUGCUUUUUUGGUGUUUACAUCUUCCUCUGACUGUUGUGUCAUGGCUGAAAGUUCUUAUCUUUUCUGGGACAGUACUGUGAGGAGCUCCUUCACCUUUAAAAACCAGGCCACAGCCCUCCUCAGCUUCACCCAGCACAAGAAGUAGAAGACAAGGAAGCAGUAUGGAUUGCUAUCAUCAAACCCAUGUACAACAUUAGCAGUCAUAAUUACAUACCAUUGUCUUUGAAUGGAGGGGGAACACUGGUUGUGGGCGAAGGCCUUUCACGUCGUCGGCAUCCAGAGAACAAAGGAUGAAUUAAACAAUCCUUAUGCAGCCAUCCGUGCAUCAAUCAACAAUAAUCCACAAGAUAUGACUUUGCUGAAUCGUCCUUUAGGUCCUAGGGCAGGUUUUUUAUUGUUGUAGUGACUAUUUGUCAAAAAAUAAUUCAAACUUAACUCCAAAAUAACUCAAAUAAUCACCAAGAUACACCAUGGGUUGUGGUUUCGUAGUUAAAGGAUUGAGUCCAAGCCAGGUGAUGCAAUUGGUGAGAUUUAUUAAAGGGUUUGCAGGCAAACAAACAAUUUUGCAUCUCCUGCUACCUUGUGCCCAACUGGCCUAACCCGAUAGAAAAGAAAUACUAAGUGCUAAACCAAUCAAAUUAGCAGAUUACUAAGAAAAGUAAACAUAUUCUAAUUAACAUAAAAAUUAACACAAGACCAAAAAAUUAACUACUUAACAAAUAAACUAAAUUUUAACAUUACACAAACAAAAAUAGACAAACAGCUCCUACAAACAUGUUUAUAAAGCAUUUCUCAACACUCAGUAACUCCAUCUAAAUAAUUACUAACACUUUCUAAAUGAUCUUAUGAACCACUGACAAUAAUUUAUUACUUAUUUUAAAAAUAUAAAUUGAUCAAUAAUAAAGUAUGUACAUGUAAUUACUAAGCA